UACGUAGGUCCCGUGCGUUGUCCGGAUUUAUUGGGCGUAAAGCGAGCGCAGGUGGUUUAUUAAGUCUGGUGUAAAAGGCAGUGGCUCAACCAUUGUAUGCAUUGGAAACUGGUAGACUUGAGUGCAGGAGAGGAGAGUGGAAUUCCAUGUGUAGCGGUGAAAUGCGUAAAUAUAUGGAGGAACACCGGUGGCGAAAGCGGCUCUCUGGCCUGUAACUGACACUGAGGCUCGAAAGCGUGGGGAGCAAACAGG
rnacentral:rRNA from 1 species